UGGUACACCCCAGGACGGAGCCACCGGCCAGCCACUGGAUUCCUGGAGGAAAGGCUGCGGAACAUCAUGAAGAGGCUGAGAUCAACCAGCAGAAUGUACCAUAUCAGACGAACAAGCUUAAAGAAUGGUUGAGAAACAAUUCUCAGCCCCUCAGCCAGAUAGAGACCUAUAGUCUACAGGGCCAAGUGGAUUAGGGACAACAAUUGGACUAUCGAUCAGAUCCUCGAAGAGUUCCCUCGCCUAAUGACCAAAGGCAUGAUUGCACAGGACUUUCUUGUCUUGGCUACCCAUUUAUGCUGAGAAGAUCCUGCACAUGGCAAGACGGGAGGGGCAGCUGACAUUGCCCCUGGAUGGAUUAACACCAGAUGGCUUUGGGGAACUCGCCCUGAGGCAGCUGCCAGCCUUGCUUCCACCUACAACUUACAAAGUUGGCCGUGGCUGCGGUGCUAAAGUGGUUUGCCACACCAUUCAGGAGUGCAGCUUGGCCUUCCUCGACCAUAAGCCUCCUGGAAUAAACAUGGUGGAGUACCUCCAUGAGGCCAAGGCAUGCAAACCAUACCCCUACAUCCUGACGCUGGGAAUGAUCAGAGUGCAUUUCAGGCCUUCGUCAUCAUAGCUGGACAGGCCUUGGAACAAGAAGCACUGCUUCAGGCCAUUGAUGUCUGUUUCAAAGCAUUCUUUGUCUUAGACAUUAAAUACCCGAAGCAGUGUGAACAUGUGUGGGAAUUCAUACAGAGUGUAAUCUAUGAAAUGCCAGGAGGGGAGUCCAAAAUGGUAAAGUUUCUUCAAACUAGAAUACUUGCUUGCAAUUCGAGCUAAUGGCCUCAAGGACAGCUUUCUAAUACAGGAAUUUGAAAAAUGUUCACUAUAGACCUGUUGACUGUUGGCCUGUUGAAUGUUC